UUACCGGCUCGAACGGACUGGAAAUCCGCAGGGCGAGGUGCUGCAUGGCUGUCGUCAGCUCGUGUCGUGAGAUGUUGGGUUAAGUCCCGCAACGAGCGCAACCCUGUCUGUGUUGCCAUGCAAGGAACUCUCAGAGACCGCCAGCGAUAACUGGAGGAAGGUGGGGAUGACGUCAAGUCAUCAUGGCCUUUAUGCCGGGCUACACACGUGCUACAAUGGGGUACAAGCGGCAUCGCAAGAGGAGCAAUCGCAAAACCGUCUCAGUUCGGAUUGCAGGCUGCAACCCGCCUGCAUGAUGCUGGAAUCGCUAGUAAUGGCGAUCAGCUGCGCCGUGAAUACGUUCCCGGGCCUUGUACACACCGCCCGUCACAUCACGAAAGUGGGUGACUGAA
rnacentral:rRNA from 1 species